CCUCGUUCUUAUUUUAGGUUUCAGUCUCCUAAACUCCAUCAAAUUCGCGCUGCGCACUCGGCGAGCUCGGCAGCGGCUCCCAAGAAAAAAAAGCCAGAUCUUCCAAACAGAAUCUUCUUCCGACUGCCAUGCUGGAAAAGGCAUCCUUAGACUUCGUCCCAACUGUGUUAAAUGUAAAUAUCUAUACUUAGCCAAAGUGAGAGUACUGUCCAGAACCUUGUAAUUUGCUUUAUUAUUUUCUCGAUCAUUUUAGCUGCUCUUGCUGAAUCUGACCUCUGUCUCUGUAUAUGUCUUUCUGUUUUGCCCUCUCUCCCACUAAACAUUUUGCUAAAUCUAACGACAGACUGCCGCCGGCGGAGAGCGUUUCCGGUUGUAGAGCUGGGUGCGACACUGCACACGUCCCUGGCACAGAGCACUGUAAAUGCGAGUGAGGAAGGGCCUCUUGGCCUCGUAGGACGCGGCUGUUUCUAUUUACUUGUGUGAGAGUAAGAUUAAAGAAGCUGAGAUAGCUGUGGGUGAUUUGCUUAGUGAAGAACUGGGGCCUCUGCACCCUGAUCCAAGAAAACCCUGAAAACCCACUGUUUCCAUUAUCUUCCUGUUUUUUCAAACGGUGUUAUUAUCUCGGCAAUUGCUUCCCCUCUCCGCGUCGUGAGCGAGACACGACCAGGAAAUGAUGCAAUUACCAAAGAAGUCAAGAAACCUUCUAGCCCGCCAUCAGUUCAGAAACUCGCAUGAAAUAGGAGCAGACGGCAAGAGAAUGUAACUUUGAAAGUGCCAACCAUUACAGUUGAAUAAAUGUAACCCAAGAGAUCCCGCUCCGCUGCAAGAUGAAAGGAGGCUUAAGUAAAAUAGACAUAAAUGUGUAAUGAACUUGCUCGCAAUAUCCGGCGCCACUGUGAAUUACAGCCUUUGUCCAGCACCAUAGAAUAUAGAAACCUGCAAGUAUAAAACAAUGAACACAUGACCUAUAUACUUCAUCUAGACCUGUGCUGUCUAAUUAACACCAGCCUCCUUCAUGUGACUUUGUCCACUGCAUUGUGGUGAGUAAGAAUUGAGGUGUUCUGUAACUGUUGAAUACAUACUGGAUUUUUAAGCAUUAGUAUGAAGAAAAAAGUAUGUAAAAUGUUAAUAACGUUUACAUUGAUUACAUUCUAAAUGCUAAAGACUGAGUUAAAAUAUUAACAUCAUUUUCCUUUUUUUAAUGUAGCUACUAGAUUAUUUUAAGUUGUAUAUACUGUUUGCCUUAUAUUUCUAUUUUAUAGUGCUAAUCUAGAUUCAGUAGUUAACAUUUUGCCAUAAUUUGCUUUCUUUUGAUCUUUUAUUUGAAACCAUUUGAGGUUAGUUGCAGACAUCAUGAAAUUUAACUUCCAACUACUAUAUCAUUUAUUUCCAAAGAACAAGCAAUACAGUUGUCACUCAGGAAAUUAAAUUUAAUUCAACAUUAUUUAUUGUACAGUUCCUAGUCAAAUUUUCCCAUUGUCCUAACACUUUUUAUAUUUUUUCCUUUUUAUCCAGGAUCCACUCAAGGAUUAAACAGUGCAUUUAGUUGUCAUGUUUCUGUAGUCUUUUAUUAUUUAUUUAUUUUUUUGUUUUUUGCCAUUUCUUGGGCUGCUCCCACAGCAUAUGGAGGUUCCCAGGCUAGGGGUCUAAUGGGAGCUAUAGCUGCCAGCCUACGCCAGAGCCACAGCAACGCGGUAUCCGAGCUGCGUCUGCAACCUACACCCCAGCUCACGGCAACGCCAGAUCCUUAACCUCACGGUUCCUAGUCGUAUUCGUUAACCACUGAGCCACGACGGGAACUCCUGUAGUCUCCUUUUGAUCUGAAACAAUUCUCCAAUCCUGUUUUUUUUGUUUGUUUUUGUUUUUGUUUUGUUUUGUUUUGUUUUUACAGCAUUGACCUUUUUGAAUAGUGGAGGACAGUUGCUUCAGAAACUCCCUCCAUUUAAAUAAAUAUUUCUUUUGUUAGAAAAACUGUCUUAAGUGAUGUGUCCUUCUCAGGGCAUUACAUCAGAAUUCAAAUACUGCUGAUGUAUUGUGUUAUGUCUAAUGGUGAAUUGGGUAGGCAGAAUAAUGUCCCGCAGGAGAUGUUUCUGUCCUAAUCUCCAGAAUAAUGAAUGCUUCCUGUGGCAGUAGGAGUUUUGCAAAUGUGAUUAAUUAAGGGUUUUGAGAGAGCAAAAAUUAUCCUAUGUUAUGGGAGGGGGGGUACAUCCAAAAUCAUCACAGGGAUCCUUCUAAGACAAGGAGGGAGGUUGGAGAGUUGGAGUCCCAGUGAUAUAAUGCCAGGAGGCUUUGAAGACAGAGGAAGGGGACCAUGAACUAAGGAAUGCAGGGGGCCUCUAGAAGCAGAGAAAGGCAAGGAAAUGGGGUUCUUCCCUAGAGCCUCCAGAAAGAAAACAGCCCUGCCAGCACCUAGGGUUUAGCCUAGUGAGACCUCCAUCAAAAUUCUGGACUACAGGACUGUUAGAUAUAAAUUUGUGCUGUUGUAAGCCAUUGAGUUUGUGGUAAAUUUUUGCAGUACCAGUAGGAAACCAAUACAGUAAGUCUGAUAAUUUGGUGAAGGUGUCUGCCAUAUUUCUCCUUUUUUUGUUGUUGUUUUGUAUGGUUUGGUUUGGUUUGGUUUUGGUUUUGGUUUUUUUCUUUUUUGGCCAUACCCCCGGCUCAUGGAAGAUGUCUGGCCAGCGAUCAAAUCUGAGUCACCUAUAUCACAGCUGCAACCUUUACCACAACGCUGGAUCCUUAACCCACCGCACUGGCUGGGGAGCCAACUGGCACUGCCGCAGAGAUAACACGGGGAUCCUUAACCCGCUGUGCCUUAGCCAGAACUCCUUUCCAUGGUAAAGUUACCUUUUACACUUGUAAUUUACAAAUAUUUUUUAAAAGAUAGCAAAUAUCACCUGUGAAAGUUAUAUUUUGAAAAUAUAUGGAUUUUCUGUUCCCCAGAAAAAUUCCACUAACUGGCUUUAGCAUCUGCUAAUGAUCCUUGCCUGAAUCAAUCAUUAUUCUAGUGCAUGCAAAAUGGUGUUAUUUUAUCAUUCUCGUGUAAAAACUUUCCUUUCUCUCCUCCCUCUUUUUAUUCUUUAUUUAAUUUUAAAAUGUCAGUUUGGAUUCAUAUUCUUUUUUGUAUUUUUGUGUUUCUAGUCAGUGUGUUAUAAUCUACUGCUGUCCUUAUUCAUUUAAUACUUAAAUUGUCCCAAGUUUGGCCAGAGAGAGUCCCUUUGUGCUGGCUUCUAUAUUCGUUUGACAUGUCCCCAUAAAUUUUUGAACACUUCUUUACCUUCUGGCACAAGAUGGUCCAGGCACAUCCUGUACUUUAUAAAUUGAUGUAGGGAGAAUAAACAUCUUUAUGCAUAUAUCUUUUCUCUUUUAAUUUCCUUUUUAAAAAUUUUACACAAGGUGGGGCAUACUCAACAUACUGUUCUGUAACUUUUUAAAAAUUAAUUUCUUUUAAAAGAUGUCUAUUCUUUACAUAUAGAGGUUUCUUAUUGUUUGGAUAACUAUGUAGUAUUCCAUUCUAUUAAAGCAAUUUUACAUCAUUA